rnacentral:lncRNA from 1 species
UCCCUUUCAUGCAUUUUAGACCUUUACUUAUCGAAAAUACAUUAUCGAAGUUUAAAUGAAUACAGAAUUCGCAUCAAUGGUCAUACACAUGCCAUGUUGGGCUCAAAUGAAAGAUAAUUGGUAAAAUAUUUCAAAAAAUUAAGUUUGAAGAUAAUUCGUCAUUUUUUGGUCACGUGGUAUAUUUUCCAAAAGUCACGUGACUGUUGGAGAAAAAGUGAAAAAAUACGAAAUCCUUGGGCAAAAAGUCGUGCAGAGACAUAUUGGUGGGCUAAUAGGGUCAGGUUUUGAUGGAAACACAAUGCCUCGAGUCUGUUGAAGCCAUAUAAGUUAUCAUAGUGGUAUAAAUAGACGCAUAACGUGCUAUAGGCCUUGAAAUAUCGAUGUCCGUAACAUUCAAAAUAAUUGAUUUUAGACGCUCUUUUUGUCCGAUUUCAAACUUGGACCCUAGUUAUUUGUCUAAUUCGUUUUCAAUCAAUCAGCAACCUAAACUUUGUUUUUACAAGGGAAAAUUCAUUGAAUUACCAAUGCUAGCUCGAUCUGGGACACCCUUGACCGAGCCCGAUGGAGCAAAGGGGGGUAAAAAAGGGGGGGGGCAAUUUUGUGACACACAUUCUUUUAAAAAAAAAAUUCGUAGGUUUCCUUUUUGAAAUUGAAAGUAAAGUUAAGUUAAGUUACAUUUAAUAUAGAAAAUUAUUUUUCCAACUCCGGCAGUGAGAUUCGAACUCUCAAUCUUAGCGCCUUGGGAUAGAUCAGCGUACCCCUGCGCCACUGACAUUGUAGUGAAUUUAUCGAAAUUUAAGUACUUAAGUCUACUACUACGGAAAGAAAUUGAAAAAAAAAAUAAUAUAAAGAUUCUCACCCAGUUUGUUUUCUUUUUGGAAUUAUGUGUUCAGAUGAUAAUUUUUUGUUGCCAAAUGCAUGAUUUUUACGCAAAUCUAGGAGGAAUCCACUCUUUAAACUGUCAUUUUUUCAUUGAAAUAUACAUGUUUCUUUAUUCAAACAAAAGUGUUUUCAACUUUAGUAUACCGCAACACUUACGAAACCAUGUUUUGUUACAUCUAUUUCAACUUUGCCAAAAAAAUUCAGAAUAUUUU